UUUUAAACUGGUUUGGGAAAACCAAAUAUAUUAUAUAUUUUGCUUUGUUCAAAAUAAGGUUUUCUAAUAAAUUAUGUUUUUAUCAGAUAUGACAGAAUCUUUUUUAAAAUCUCUUCAAUAUGCUUUUAUUGCUUUUGAGAGGUUUUGUUACUUUGAGUAAAAUUAAGUGUUCAUAACAGACGGGUAGUCAUGAUUGAGUUCAUUGUGUA
rnacentral:rRNA from 1 species